rnacentral:misc_RNA from 1 species
GAAAUGCGAUAAGUAAUGUGAAUUGCAGAAUUCAGUGAAUCAUCGAAUCUUUGAACGCAUCUUGCGCCUCUUGGUAUUCCGAGAGGCAUGCCUGUUUGAGUGUCAUUAAAUUCUCAACCUUGAAAAGCUUUUGCUUCUUUGAGGAUUGGAUGUGAGGGUUUGCUGGCUUUGAAUAAGAGUUUCAGCUCCCUUGAAAUACAUUAGUGGAAACCGCUUUGUUAGACCCACAUUGGCGUGAUAAUUAUCUACGCCAUUGACUUGAGUCUAUGCAUCGAAUGGAUUAUAGUGAUGAAAAAAGCUAUAACCACUUCGGUUUGGAGAGUUGCAGGUUGUUUUAAAUAAUGACUUUUGCUCUCUCUGUUGAGGUAUCUGCUUCAAACUGUCCUAAGUGAUUGGACAAACUUUUAUUGCUUUGUUUGACCUCAAAUCAGGUAGGACUACCCGCUGAACUUAAGC